rnacentral:rRNA from 1 species
AUUGAACGCUGGCGGCAGGCCUAACACAUGCAAGUCGAGCGGAGCGGCGGACGGGUGAGUAAUGCCUAGGAAUCUUCCUGGUAGUGGGGGAUAACGUCCGGAACCGGGCGCUAAUACCGCAUACUAUCAGAUGAGCCUAGGUCGGAUUAGCUAGUUGGUGGGGUAAAGGCCUACCAAGGCGACGAUCCGUAACUGGUCUGAGAGGAUGAUCAGUCACACUGGAACUGAGACACGGUACAGACUCCAGCGGGAGGCAGAAGUGGGGAAUAAUGGUCAAUGGGAGAAAGCCUGAUCCAGACAUGCCGCGUGUGUGAAGAAGGUCUUCGGAUUGUAAAGCACUUUAAGUUAGGAGGAGAUACCAACAGAAUAAGCACGGGCUGACUUCGUGCCAGCAGCCGCGGUAAUUC